rnacentral:rRNA from 1 species
CGCGUAGGCGGUUUGGUAAGUCGGAUGUGAAAGCCCCGGGCUUAACCUGGGAAUUGCAUUCGAUACUGCUUGACUAGAGUAUGGUAGAGGGAAGUGGAAUUCCAGGUGUAGCGGUGAAAUGCGUUAAGAUAUCUGGAGGAACAUCAGUGGCGAAGGCGACUUCCUGGACCAAUACUGACGCUGAGGUGCGAAAGCGUGGGAAGCAAACA